rnacentral:rRNA from 1 species
GUGAGGAAUAUUGGUCAAUGGGCGAGAGCCUGAACCAGCCAAGUCGCGUGAAGGAAGAAGGAUCUAUGGUUCGUAAACUUCUUUUGCAGGGGAAUAAAGUGCAGGACGUGUCCUGUUUUGUAUGUACCCUGAGAAUAAGGAUCGACUAACUCCGUGCCAGCAGCCGCGGUAAUACGGAGGAUCCGAGCGUUAUCCGGAUUUAUUGGGUUUAAAGGGUGCGUAGGUGGUUUGAUAAGUCAGCGGUGAAAGUUUGCAGCUUAACUGUAAAAAUGCCGUUGAAACUGUCGGACUUGAGUGUAAAUGAGGUAGGCGGAAUGCGUGGUGUAGCGGUGAAAUGCAUAGAUAUCACGCAGAACUCCGAUUGCGAAGGCAGCUUACUAAGCUACAACUGACACUGAAGCACGAAAGCGUGGGGAUCAAACAGGAUUAGAAACCCGUGUAGUCC